GGGUUGUGAGGUUAAGCGACUAAGCGUACACGGUGGAUGCCCUGGCAGUCAGAGGCGAUGAAGGACGUGCUAAUCUGCGAUAAGCGUCGGUGAGGUGAUAUGAACCGUUAUAACCGGCGAUUUCCGAAUGGGGAAACCCAGUGUGUUUCGACACACUAUCAUUAACUGAAUCCAUAGGUUAAUGAGGCGAACCGGGGGAACUGAAACAUCUAAGUACCCCGAGGAAAAGAAAUCAACCGAGAUUCCCCCAGUAGCGGCGAGCGAACGGGGAGCAGCCCAGAGCCUGAAUCAGUGUGUGUGUUAGUGGAAGCGUCUGGAAAGGCGCGCGAUACAGGGUGACAGCCCCGUACACAAAAAUGCACAUGCUGUGAGCUCGAUGAGUAGGGCGGGACACGUGGUAUCCUGUCUGAAUAUGGGGGGACCAUCCUCCAAGGCUAAAUACUCCUGACUGACCGAUAGUGAACCAGUACCGUGAGGGAAAGGCGAAAAGAACCCCGGCGAGGGGAGUGAAAAAGAACCUGAAACCGUGUACGUACAAGCAGUGGGAGCCUCUUAAUGGGGUGACUGCGUACCUUUUGUAUAAUGGGUCAGCGACUUAUAUUCUGUAGCAAGGUUAACCGAAUAGGGGAGCCGAAGGGAAACCGAGUCUUAACUGGGCGUUAAGUUGCAGGGUAUAGACCCGAAACCCGGUGAUCUAGCCAUGGGCAGGUUGAAGGUUGGGUAACACUAACUGGAGGACCGAACCGACUAAUGUUGAAAAAUUAGCGGAUGACUUGUGGCUGGGGGUGAAAGGCCAAUCAAACCGGGAGAUAGCUGGUUCUCCCCGAAAGCUAUUUAGGUAGCGCCUCGUGAAUUCAUCUCCGGGGGUAGAGCACUGUUUCGGCAAGGGGGUCAUCCCGACUUACCAACCCGAUGCAAACUGCGAAUACCGGAGAAUGUUAUCACGGGAGACACACGGCGGGUGCUAACGUCCGUCGUGAAGAGGGAAACAACCCAGACCGCCAGCUAAGGUCCCAAAGUCAUGGUUAAGUGGGAAACGAUGUGGGAAGGCCCAGACAGCCAGGAUGUUGGCUUAGAAGCAGCCAUCAUUUAAAGAAAGCGUAAUAGCUCACUGGUCGAGUCGGCCUGCGCGGAAGAUGUAACGGGGCUAAACCAUGCACCGAAGCUGCGGCAGCGACACUAAGUGUUGUUGGGUAGGGGAGCGUUCUGUAAGCCUGUGAAGGUGUACUGUGAGGUAUGCUGGAGGUAUCAGAAGUGCGAAUGCUGACAUAAGUAACGAUAAAGCGGGUGAAAAGCCCGCUCGCCGGAAGACCAAGGGUUCCUGUCCAACGUUAAUCGGGGCAGGGUGAGUCGACCCCUAAGGCGAGGCCGAAAGGCGUAGUCGAUGGGAAACAGGUUAAUAUUCCUGUACUUGGUGUUACUGCGAAGGGGGGACGGAGAAGGCUAUGUUGGCCGGGCGACGGUUGUCCCGGUUUAAGCGUGUAGGCUGGUUUUCCAGGCAAAUCCGGAAAAUCAAGGCUGAGGCGUGAUGACGAGGCACUACGGUGCUGAAGCAACAAAUGCCCUGCUUCCAGGAAAAGCCUCUAAGCAUCAGGUAACAUCAAAUCGUACCCCAAACCGACACAGGUGGUCAGGUAGAGAAUACCAAGGCGCUUGAGAGAACUCGGGUGAAGGAACUAGGCAAAAUGGUGCCGUAACUUCGGGAGAAGGCACGCUGAUAUGUAGGUGAAGUCCCUCGCGGAUGGAGCUGAAAUCAGUCGAAGAUACCAGCUGGCUGCAACUGUUUAUUAAAAACACAGCACUGUGCAAACACGAAAGUGGACGUAUACGGUGUGACGCCUGCCCGGUGCCGGAAGGUUAAUUGAUGGGGUUAGCGGUAACGCGAAGCUCUUGAUCGAAGCCCCGGUAAACGGCGGCCGUAACUAUAACGGUCCUAAGGUAGCGAAAUUCCUUGUCGGGUAAGUUCCGACCUGCACGAAUGGCGUAAUGAUGGCCAGGCUGUCUCCACCCGAGACUCAGUGAAAUUGAACUCGCUGUGAAGAUGCAGUGUACCCGCGGCAAGACGGAAAGACCCCGUGAACCUUUACUAUAGCUUGACACUGAACAUUGAGCCUUGAUGUGUAGGAUAGGUGGGAGGCUUUGAAGUGUGGACGCCAGUCUGCAUGGAGCCGGCCUUGAAAUACCACCCUUUAAUGUUUGAUGUUCUAACGUUGGCCCCUGACCGGGGUUGCGGACAGUGUCUGGUGGGUAGUUUGACUGGGGCGGUCUCCUCCUAAAGAGUAACGGAGGAGCACGAAGGUUGGCUAAUCCUGGUCGGACAUCAGGAGGUUAGUGCAAUGGCAUAAGCCAGCUUGACUGCGAGCGUGACGGCGCGAGCAGGUGCGAAAGCAGGUCAUAGUGAUCCGGUGGUUCUGAAUGGAAGGGCCAUCGCUCAACGGAUAAAAGGUACUCCGGGGAUAACAGGCUGAUACCGCCCAAGAGUUCAUAUCGACGGCGGUGUUUGGCACCUCGAUGUCGGCUCAUCACAUCCUGGGGCUGAAGUAGGUCCCAAGGGUAUGGCUGUUCGCCAUUUAAAGUGGUACGCGAGCUGGGUUUAGAACGUCGUGAGACAGUUCGGUCCCUAUCUGCCGUGGGCGCUGGAGAACUGAGGGGGGCUGCUCCUAGUACGAGAGGACCGGAGUGGACGCAUCACUGGUGUUCGGGUUGUCAUGCCAAUGGCACUGCCCGGUAGCUAAAUGCGGAAGAGAUAAGUGCUGAAAGCAUCUAAGCACGAAACUUGCCCCGAGAUGAGUUCUCCCUGACUCCUUGAGAGUCCUGAAGGAACGUUGAAGACGACGACGUUGAUAGGCCGGGUGUGUAAGCGCAGCGAUGCGUUGAGCUAACCGGUACUAAUGAACCGUGAGGCUUAACCUUACAACGCCGAAGCUGUU
rnacentral:rRNA from 1 species